rnacentral:rRNA from 1 species
UAUUGCACAAUGGGGGAAACCCUGAUGCAGCGACGCCGCGUGAGUGAAGAAGUAUCUCGGUACGUAAAGCUCUAUCAGCAGGGAAGAAAAUGACGGUACCUGACUAAGAAGCCCCGGCCAACUACGUGCCAGCCGCCGCGGUAAUACGUAGGGGGCGAGCGUUAUCCGGAUUUACUGGGUGUAAAGGGAGCGUAGACGGGAGCGCAAGGCUGGAGUGAAAUGCCGGGGCCCAACCCCGGAACUGCUUUGGAAACUGUGCAGCUCGAGUGCAGGGGAGGUAAGCGGAAUUCCUAGUGUAGCGGUGAAAUGCGUAGAUAUUAGGAGGAACACCAGUGGCGAAGGCGGCUUACUGGACUGUAACUGACGUUGAGGCUCGAAAGCGUGGGGAGCAA